rnacentral:rRNA from 1 species
AUUGAACGCUGGCGGCAUGCCUUACACAUGCAAGUCGAACGGCAGCACGGGAGCAAUCCUGGUGGCGAGUGGCGAACGGGUGAGUAAUGUAUCGGAACGUACCCAGUCGUGGGGGAUAACGCAGCGAAAGCUGUGCUAAUACCGCAUACGAUCUAUGGAUGAAAGCGGGGGAUCGCAAGACCUUGCGCGAUUGGAGUGGCCGAUAUCAGAUUAGCUAGUUGGUGGGGUAAAGGCUCACCAAGGCGACGAUCUGUAGCUGGUCUGAGAGGACGACCAGCCACACUGGAACUGAGACACGGUUCAGACUCCUACGGGAGGCAGCAGUGGGGAAUUUUGGACAAUGGGCGCAAGCCUGAUCCAGCAAUGCCGCGUGCAGGAUGAAGGCCUUCGGGUUGUAACCUCUUUCUAGUCAGGGAAGAAGCGAAAGUGACGGUACCGUGCAGAAGAAGCACCGGCUAACUACGUGCCAGCACGG